rnacentral:rRNA from 1 species
CAGACUUGACAUCCUGGGAACCUCUUAGAAAUAAGAGGGUGCCUUCGGGAGCACAGAGAC